GUCGGUAUCGAUUAGGGGUUAAAUCACUUCGUUGUGGUUCAAACACCUCCGAAGAGCCGCUGGUUCGAUUCCAGCUACCGACA
rfam:Hebeloma cylindrosporum h7 unplaced genomic scaffold scaffold_23, whole genome shotgun sequence.